CUCUAUUCUUGCACAUCCCAACCACAUUUUACACUGCCAUAUAAUUUGUUCAUAUAGUCCGUCACAUCUCGGCAGUUUAGAAGAUCUCCAAUUCUUGGCAAUCAAUAACUUAGUUGCUGUAAAGAUGUGGAGGACUAUUGGAAGAAUAUUUUUGUGUAUUGCUUUAAGAUUAAUAUGUAAUAAUGCUAUUUCUGGCGUCCUUUCUAUACAGGUGGUCCUCGUUUUGCGCCAAAUAUGAUAGAAGGUUCCUGGGUUCGAUCCACAUCUCCAACAAUUUAUAUCUGUAUUAGAUCAAGCGACACUUAAUUUGGCCAAUGUACUUGGUACCCAGUACCAUCUAUUACGUACCUUAUAUUGUACCUCUCUCAAAUUCAAUGAGCAAACUUGUAUUUCUAACACUAUAGUGUCCUAGUCCAUGAUUAGUUUUAGCCCCCCGCCUACCCCGUUUGGAGUAAAAACCUACAAAAUGUUUUUUUCUUACCUUUUUCCUUCUUCGUCCAAUGUUUGUCUGCAAUGUUGGGUGGUAUGGCACUGUGCACGCACAAAGCAUUUAAGAACACAACAAAUACAAAGUAAUAGAGCCCAAAGAGUGAAACAUAUUUUAAUAUUGUAGCACAUUGUCAUCUGUACUACAAAAAAAAUGAGGAAUCACAGACCAAAAUCAAUGUACAGCAAAGCUUGAGUUUCUGUUUUGUGAACUGUACAGUUGAAGGUAAAUAUGCAAAAUACAUCAUGAUAAAAGCACAUUGAUGACAUACUGCAGUAAUGUGUAUUUUAGUUCGGAAGGCGGCAUUUAAUGUGUAUUGUAUAUUGGCAGACAUCUUGUUUCAAUAAACACUUGAUGCAUUUUGCUUUUUAUUAUUUUGCAUUCAUGCCCGUAGCAUAGUUUAUAAAACAAACGUAUACAUUCAAAAUGAUAUUUAACAUGAAUAUACAUGUUUUUCAAAAAGGAGGCAGCAACUGAAUUUUAUCAUAAAUAUAUAAUUAUUCAAUGAAAGCAAAAUUGAUAGAAAAACAAACAAACAAUAUGCAUUCUUUGCUUUGGUGAAACCGAAAUACAUUUCACAAAGGGAACAAACUGAUUAAACUGUAGAACAUUUACAGGAGUUUCUGAGUUUGAGAAAUGGAGACUUUCUGUUAUACGCUUAUACAUCCUGAUGUACCUCUGACCACUAAUGAAUGCAGUCAUUUUUAAUAAAUAUGACGAAGUGUUUUUAUAUUUUUUUUAAAUAAAAAGAGUUGACUGACAAUGAGUGGAGAGUUUUUUUACACAGCAUGUAAGAAUCCUACCAACGGUGAUGUCAUCGAUGUGACCAAUCAUGCAUUUCUGCAGCACAGAAUCGAUAAGCCUAUGAGGUCACAUUGAUGAUGUCACAGAGGGCACUGAUCAUUGCAUUCAAGUGUAUUUUUGCAAAUAGCAGCACAAUUGCUAGUAAUACUAUUAGCAUAACGUAUAGAUUUGUGCUACCUCUCAUAAUCUUCUUUCUCUUUAAUAUUACCUGCUUGUGGCUGCGCCGUGCUUGCAAGCUCACCAUUUGCUAUUUCUGCCAGGUCAAGGAAUGUACAUUGGUAAAAAUAUGAAGUACAUGGCAAUGUGCUCAGUGAACCUUUAUGUGUGAUAACUUCAGCAAUGGAAUGAUUGCUCAAAUUCCAUAGUGGUGUUUCGGGAAUAUGGAAAUAAAAAUUUGUGUUGGAUUUCUUUUUGUUCAGACUUGCACAACAGAGUUAAUUCUAUGUCUGGUUGAGCUAGAUAUGACCAUGUCUGGGUAUCGCGAUAAAACCAACUCUCAUCACAAUUGGCCCAGGUGGACACAGUACAAGUCUUUACAUUUGAUAUUAUAAAUGGACUUUACAAAUGCUUAACUUAAACUAAUUCAGUGUCCUAGAGACCUUCAAUGACAUUUUGGGGAUUGAGAGAAAAGGUUGAGCUGCUAAGUUAAAAUGGUAAACAUCAAACAACUUGAGUUAAACUCAUUCUGACUUGUCCAUGAGUACUAAGUCUUAUCACACGAACGCUUUAUAUGAUCAGCUGAGUUAAAACCAACUUCAAUGGUGUUCACUGGUGGAAUGAAUGGUGGGUUCAGUUUGCUUGUGUCAGUAGUUCAUUCAUAUUUUGUUUUAUUUGUAUGAAACUUUGUUACAACACUUUAAGAAUAUGUUACAUUUCUCAUAAAUAUCAUAUAUGGGAAAAGCUGUAUACUUCUAACAUACCUUAUGUAGAAUGAAUUAACCAGGCUGCAGUGGCCCUAUCAUUUUAACCCUGCAAGGUAAAACAUGUUUAUAUUGCAGCAUUAAAUAAACCUCUAGAUUUAUUUUUUUUACACAGCAGGUAAGAAUCCUACCAACUUUGAUGUCAUCGAUGUGACCAAUCAUGCAUUUCUGCAGCACAGAAUCGAUAAGCCUAUCUUCCAGACAGCCACAAGAGGCACUUCCACAGCAUUGAAUGAAAAAAACUCGGAAGUCCCCAUAGGAAAGCAUUGGAUCACAGCUUUCCUAUGGAUAGCUUGGAUGCCUUUGUGUCAUCAGGUCCCCAAUGCUUCUCAAUGAAGAACAUUGGAUUGGAUCAACGAUGGAGCACACAGUAGGUAAGUAGUGCCCAGGGAUCAUCGGUUCCAGAAAUAUAUAAGUAGAAUCAGUGAUUUUAUUUUAGAACUAGGGUCAGGGACAUGAAAGCGUUAGGAAUACAGGUUUGUUUUUCUAACCCUUUAGUUUUCUUUCAAUAGAAAACCAAGUAAGUAUUGGACUUUUCCUGCUACAUUCUCUCUAUCCUUCAUUUGGAGCAAGGGGACAAGGCUGAGGUGCUAAAGUGGUUGGGUGCCUUUGUGAUAACCAAAGAAUCUAUGUCCAGUUCUUUAUUAUUUUUUUCCAUAAGUUGUCCCAGUGAUAUAACUUACAUAUUGUCGCACAAAGCAAAUAACUGGCACAGCUUAUAAAGGUGCUGAAACAAAGCUAAACUUUCUUAAUCCUUCGCAGUAGAACACCUCAUGGAUGGCCAUACAUCCCACCACUAUUCACAAUGAUGAUAUUAUCUAACUAAAGAGAAACUGAUACAUUGAAAGAAAUGACACGUUGUAAUAUCUUGCUAAAAAUUAAUUUAUUAGGUAUGAUUUUUACUUAUUUACUAACAUCUACACUUUUUAUUUGACUUUGUAUCGAAUGCAAGGCAUAGCCUGGCAUCUGAUUCAAAUUCCAAAUGUCCCAUGAAUCCAUAUGCAUGGCAAUGGAAUGGUUUGCAUGCACAAGGAAUCAUAAGAAGAAAAUACUAUGCAAGAUUAUCUCAAAGUGCAGUAUAUGUUUAAUACUUAAUUUGGUUGCACACCUCACUAUACUAUAACCUCAUAUGCAUUCAUUUUUGGUUCUGAUAUGUUUCUAUCAAAUUUUCAUUAUGUACCAAGAAAUAUCUGGUACAGGGUGCAAGAAGCCCCUUUUUUUUCCCUUUAAUACAGUAAAUAUUCUAGGUUCCUGAACUAGUACCCCAAAGAAGGAUAUUUGGCUAUUAUUAUCCCACCAGCUGUAUGUGGCAACAUGGUAAUUCUAGUUGUUUGUUAAUACUUCCAUCUCUGCAUGAAAAUAGAUACAAUUUAAUUUUUAAAACUAAGUUUUUUAUCCAAUAUUUCUGUAAAGAAUUAGUGAAUAAAAAAAAAUUAGUAAGUGGCCUUCAAAGACUGGAAUUUUCCACCCCUAUUCUGUAUCAUUCAAAGGGCAAAUACAUAUUUUAGUGGGUAAUCCAUAUAACAUUUUAUUGUUUAAAUACAGGCAAUCUGAUAUUAAUCUUACAUAUAUUAUAUAAUAUAUUAUGAGCAGCCAUGUUAAUAUACGAGGAAUAAAUAUAUAUAUAUCUCAAAUUUCAAACUGGUGUAAAUAAUUUGUAUAUUAUUUUUAUUCAUUUAUAAUAUAUUCAAGUGGUUCACUUGUUUCCUUUGCAAUAUUUUAGUAGUGCAUAUAAGGGGAUUUAAUAUUUUUUUUAAUGGUGUUGGAACUGUUAACACAAGUUGAAAAGAAUUAGGCCACAGUAGAGGAGCUCAAAAUAUUUUUAGACUUUUUUGGUUUUACAUCUUUGACAUUUUGGCCAUGAUUUUGUAAACUUGAUUAUGAAUUCAUAAAGAUUUAUGAUUCAGUCAACAAAAUUUGAGAUUACUUUAGCUUAUGAGUUUCACUUUCUGCUAGUCUUAUGUAUAAUAUAUAAAUGUUGUAUGACAAAGGACUAGAAUGCACUCAAAAGCGAAUUAAUGUCGGAGACUGCUACUGACUGCCCCCAGAAAGGACCCACAAAUGUAACUCACGCUUACUUAAUUGCUUGAAAAUUGGUCAAAUGGAACUGUGGGAUUGGAAAAUCAUUUUGUUUGAUAAAGAGAGAGACCUUUAUCGCCACAAAUCCAUCAAAAUAUAUCCAGAGCAUUUCUCCUUGUGCAACUCAAAAUCUUGGAUUUAAAGGAGCACUCCAAACCUCAUAACAACUUAAAAGAAGCCUUUGGGCACCAUUACAACUUCAUCAUAAUGAAGUUGUUAUUAUGCCAGGAAGUCCUCGUACUCUUUCUACCUGAAAUGGUAAAACCGUUCUCAAAAGAUUUAGCCUCCAAGGUUGCAUCCAGCUCCGCAUUUCUAAUUUCCCCAGCACAUCCAGCUUCUGAAAUUGACUUUCAAGCCGCUGGGCGCCCGCUAUUGAUUGGCUAGAGCAGACAGUUAUAAAAAAGGUACAUACUGUGUACCUUUGUAUGUACGUAUGCAAGUAUGUACUAGUCCUUUAAGUACGUACCGUUUCUCUCAAUGGGUGAUUAUUAACUAUCAGUGGAUGCCUGGCUUAUCUUUCCUUAAACUGCAGAGCAAGGGUAGAAGUGCAUUGAGCCCAACUUUGGGGUUAAAAUGUUUGGUAAGAAGGUGCGUGGGCACUGCUUCCCACAGAGGAAUUUAAAUUAAUUUAACUUGGUAUGGGGUGGCAGUGUUCCUUUAAAUGAAACAGCAGCUAAUAAAUUCCUAAUAUAACUAUUACCUAAUUUAAUGCUGCUCAAUUUAUUGACCUCAUAAGGACAACAGGCUAAAUCGGUCCUUUGAGAAAUCAAUCUUUCAGCCCUGAAGUUUAAAUGGGUUAUGCAAUGAGUAUCUAGCAACCAUCACCAACCUUCAUUAAAGGACCACUCUAGGCACCCAGACCACUUAAGCUUAAUGAAGUGGUCUGGGUGCCAGGUCCCUCUAGGAUUAACCCAUUUUUUUUAUAAACAUAGCAGUUUCAGAGAAACUAAAGCCUCUAGUGGCUGUCUCAUUGACAGCCGCUAGAGGCGUUUGCGUGCUUCUGACUGUGAUAAUCACAGUGAGAAGACGCCAGCGUCCAUAGGAAAGCAUUAUGAAUGCUUUCCUAUGAGACCGGCUGAAUGCGCGCGCAGCUCCUGCAUGCGCAUUCAGCUGAAGAGGAGGAUCGGAGGCGGAGAGGAGGAGGAGAGCUCCCCGCCCGGCGCUGGAAAAAAGGUAAGUUUAACCCCUUUCCUCUCCCCAGAGCCCGGCGGGAGUGGGACCCUGAGGGUGGGGGCACCCUCAGGGCACUAUAGUGCCAGGAAAACAAGUAUGUUUUCCUGGCACUAUAGUGGUCCUUUAAUAACUUAGAACAGUAUAAACUGUGUAAUCAAAAGCCCAGCAUUAAACCUACAUUGUAAAACCAAUAAACCCUCAUAUAUAGGAAUUUUCACAUAAAAAAAUAUUUUUUGAAAACGCACAUUUGUUAUCAGCUUACAUUCAUAGCACAAUUAGCAGCAUUAAACAGUCAGAAAAGAAGCCAUAUAGAAAGGAAGAGAUGGGAAAUAUACAUGUUAGCUAUAUUUGUGAUAGUGGUUUAACGGUGUAACUAAUGGAAUGCAGGCCUUCCAGUUGUCCCUAUUUUGGCAGAAUAUUCCCAAUUUGAAGAUUUGCAGAAAAAAUAAUGGUUCAUGCUGUCCUGGAUAACAUAAAUAGCAGCUUUACUGGGGCAAAAGCAGCAACGUUUCGACCCUACCGGGUCUUUAAACAUUGCUGCUUUUGCCCAAAUAAAGCUGCUAUUUUUGUUGUACUGGAGUGCCUGAAUCAGUUUUUAUUCUGCAUAUCUUGGAAGGGAGACCUGGCCAGCCCUGGCUUCAGAGCACCUGCGUUAUUUGGUGAAUAUGGUAUCCAGUAAGUCUCUACUACUCCCAAUUGGAAGUUCCUGCCCACUGUUCCAGGUUUAGGACACCAGGAAACUGACCAGGAAGAGUAGCACUAGUGCCUCACUAUAUGCGCUUGCACAAGACUCAAGGCACUCAUACCCUGCUAGCCCCUCUACUACUCCCAAUUUGAAGGUCCUGCCCACUGUUCCAGGUUUAGGACACCAGGAAACUGACCAGGAAGAGUAGCACUAGUGCCUUACUAUAUGCGCUUGCACAACACUCAAGGCACUCAUACCCUGCUAGCCCCUCUACUGAAUUACACUGCCAAAGAAAGGGCGCUUCAUUUGUGGAAUAUUAUCCUGGAUAUUUGACUGACUGGAUUUUCUAUCACUAUUUGAUAUCUCUGGAAAAUUAUUUUUGGACCGUAUUUGGAUAUACAUGGUUUGGACUUUGUUUCUUCUUUGUGCUUUACUUAUUAUUUUAAAAUCAUUCUGUAGACCUGGACAUUUAAAAGAGGAACAAAAUUGAUUAUUAAAUCGUCAUAUCCAUAAAGAAAACGUAUGGUUGAUCACAUAAAAGACCACAAUUUCAAGUCCCUUACUACUAGCCAGGCCUAAAAGUUACUUUACACUAGAAACCUUGUCCUGCAACACAACGAUUGUCAUUGGACAGAAAAAGUAGCACUUACAACUGCACAUCUCCGAACAACAUGCACAGCAUCUGACAAUUCCUAGCAUGUGGCUAGUGGGCAACUGGAAAUUAUGAGCCAAAAUCAGAUUCAUCAGACCAAAUCAGAUUAAUAUCUUUUAUUUUUCUCAAGGAACCACGCUUAACCAGAUCCAAUUAUUACAUCCAACUAAUAAUUGGGUAUAAUGCAGAGGAGAACAGAAAUGCAGGAUCACUACACUGCCCAAAUUAGUAGCAUUUUUGCAUUGGAGUAAAUCUAAAAACAGCAUGCAAAAGCUGCAGAACUCUUAUCAGCAGCCUUUGCAAGCCCUCGCCUUCUAACCCAGCCCAGGCUUUCUGUGGCUGUCCAAUCACAGUCUUCUCGCUUAGCUUGGUGAAAAGUCUUGGUAAGGCAGGUGCUCUGAGGAAUUGCUGCCUCUUCAGUUUAUAACUUUAGAUCUACCAAGUUAAACCAGGAAGUAACGGAGUCAGUUGUCUGAUUGACAGACAGGGGAUGUAACAAAGUUAAUUUAUAAAAAGUUACAAAUUCUGUUGAAACGUGCACUUUUUGAAAAAUUAAAAAAACAGGACACAGUCUUCACACAACACCCUGAGGUGCUUUGGGGGUCUGGAGUGUCCCUUUAAAGUGACGGCGGGAUGGAAAGAUCUAAAUUGAUUCUAUUGAUAAAAGGAACAAACUGCUGAUUCAGAUUAUUUAAGUCAACCAAGAAACUAGACUUGCUUUUUUUUUUUGUAAUAAUUGUUAUCAUCAUGUUUAAAUCAUGACAGGCCUAAUGUCUAUGCGAUUUAUUUGCUCAUAUGUCCAUUUCACUUAGUUUUGUUUGUUUAGUUUGGCUGGGUUUCUUAAAUAGUUUACAAUGUUAACAGGGAGGAACAUUAAUUACUCUGCAGGAUUAGCAGUAAAUACUUGUACGUAUGAAGAGAGACCAGUUGUUAUUGCUGUUGUGUUUACUUGUCUUGCCCAGCCACAUUGUUUUCCAAUUCUACCCUACAAUAACAUACUUUGUCAUUCUUCGAACACACAUUCUUAGAUAACAGAUUAAUCAGAUCCAGAUGGGAAACCUCUCAUAGGCUCUUGUCCAAUUACCCACAGGGCAGAGAUGUUGCAAUGUUAGUCUCCCCCCAUGCCUCCAUCCAUUUUGCUGAUACAGCAGUAUUCUACACUAAUUUUCAUGACGCUCAGAAUGACCGAAACCAGCAUCAGUUUAUAAUAUAAGAAAAUAACAUCAAAUUACAGCGUACUAUAAUCCCCUUUCUUGCAAACUACACCACUGUGAACCUGUAUUCUUAUUGGCAAGCAAUCAUUAUGUCAAAAGUGUGUCAUGUUGCUUAAUGUUGCUUUUCUUCUUCAUUCCUGAUAGUGUACCAACUGUAGCUGGGUCAUGACAUUGGCAGUACUGGAAUUGGUGGGAGAUGGGUAAAGGGGGAGGACCAGUUAUGCAAUUGUAUCAGUGGUUCCACCCCAAAGGGGAGGUGCCUGCAUUAAAAGGCACACACCCAUUUGGAAAGGGCAUGUCCGCCCACAUUACUGGCAGGUCAGGAGGGACAGUUGGACAAACCCAAAAUUUGGGACUGUCCUGCCGAAAUCAGGUUGGUUGGGAGGCAUGGGAUAUAGCACCGUACAAGUUGGUUUAAACGCCUUGCAUAUUAAAAAUUUAUGGUAUAAGCUAUGUUAUGUUCUGAGCAAGCUUUCAACUAAAACCAUUAAAGGACCACUAUGGUGCCAGGAAAACAUACUCGUUUUUCUGGCACUAUAGUGCCCUGAGGGUGCCCUCACCCUCAGGGUCCCUCUCCUGCAGGGCUCUAGGGGGUGGAAGGGGUUAAACUUACCUCUUUCUCCAGCGCCGGGCGGAGAGCUCUCCUCCUCCACGCGCGCAUUCAGCCAGUCUCAUAGGAAAGCAUUCACAAUGCUUUCCUGUGGAUGCUGGCGUCUUCUCACUGUGAUUUUCACAGUGAGAAGCACGCAAGCGCCUCUAGCGGCUGUCAAUGAGACAGCCACUAGAGGCUGGAUGAACCCUAAUAUAAACAUAGCAGUUUCUCUGAAACUGCUAUGUUUAUAGAAAAAAGGGUUAAACCUAGCUGGACCAGGCACCCAGACCACUUCAUUAAGCUGAAGUGGUCUGGGUGCCUAUAAUGGACCUUUAAGUAUAUGGCUGAUCCAAUGGCUCUCAACAUUACAUUGUUAUGUGGUGCAAUUUCAAUGAUACACAGCAGCUUCUGAAAAACACCGGCUUCUUAUUAAACCACUCAGCCAUGCUUGUGAAUCUCCCAAAGUGAACUAAUAACUACUGCAUAUUGUAAAAAUCUGCAUGAGAUUAACAAAAACAAGAUAAUAAUCAGAGAAAGUCAGCAUAAAAAUGUCAAUUGUAAUGAUGACAAAUUAUUAUUAAAAAAAUUAAUCCAGGAUGUUUCAAAGUAAAAAAUCAUCUAGAUGAGAUUGUUGUGCAGAUCAAUUUCAUCCUUGAAUAAAUAUUCCUUUUAAAAAUCAGGUAUUCCAUUGUGCGACCAUUAUUUUUUAUGCCCAUGUCAGAAAUGAAGGGUCAAGAUAUACUAUACAAUUAAUAUUAUGUAUACACUGAUCAGCCACAGCAAUAAAACAACUGACAGAUGAAGAGAACAACAUUGAUUUUAUUGUUACAAUGGCACCUGUCAAGGGGUGGGAUAUAUUAGGCAGCAAGUGAACAGUCAGUUCUUGAAUUUCAUGUGUUCGAAGCAGGAAAAACAGGCAAGCGAAAAGCUCUGAGUGACUAGGGCAAAAUAGUGGCUAGAUUACAGGGUCAGAGAAUCUCCAAAAUGGCAAGUCUUGUGGGGUUUUCCAACCGGUGAACCAGCAUCAGGGUCAUGGGCACUCAAGUCCUAUUGAGGCACGUUGGGAGCUAAGGUUAGCCCGUCUGGUAUGAUCAUAUAGAAGAGUUGGUGUAGCUCAAAUUGCUGAAAAGCUUGGCACUGGCUAUGAUAGAAAGGUAUCAGAACAGACAGUGCAUCCCAGUUUGCUGUGUAGGGGGCUGCGUUACCCCUAGACUGGUCAGAGUACCAUGAUGACCCUAUCCACCACUGAUAGUGCUGUCAAUGGGGAUAUGAGCAUGAGAACUAGACCAUGGAAGUAUCAAGACUGAUCUGACCCUAACACACAAACCUAGUUUAAAGAUAAAGUAUGAAUGCGUACUGGUCCUUAGAGUGGCUGGGUUAGCACUUUUUUCUUUUAGAUUAGGUAGAUAGUCAGUUGCGUGUGCAUCUUUCACCUGGGGAAGAGAUGGCAGCAGGAUGCAUUAUGGGAAGAAGGUAGGCCGGCGCAGUCAGUGUUAUGGGCAAUGUUCUGCUGGGAAAUCUUGGGUCAUGGCAUUCAUGUGGAUGUUAUUUUCACAUGUGCCACACACCUAGAGAUUGUUGCAGACCACAUACACCCAUUCAUGACAAUGUUCUUCCUUGAUGGCAGUGGCCUUUUUCAGCAGGAUAAUGUACUCUGCCACACUGCACAAAAUGUUCAGGAAUGGUUUGAGGAACAUGGAAAAUAUUUCAAUGUGUUCCUAUGGCCGCCAAAUUCCCCAGGUGUCAAUCCAAUUGAGCAUCUGUGGCAUGUGCUGGAACAACAGAUCCAAUCCAUGAAGGCCCCACAACAGGAUUUAAAAGAUCUGCUGCUCAUGUCUUGGUGCCGGAUAUCUCAGGACACAUUCAAAAGUCUUGUGGAGUCCAUGCUUCAACACAUCAGAGCUGUCUUGGCAGCAUGAGGGGUACAUUGUGGCUGCUCAAUGUGUGUGUAUAUGUAUGAUACAUACAUCCUUUUGGCACUUAAAGGGGCAGUAAACCCUUUUUCCCCUCAGUAAACAGUGAAGUCAAUCAUGAUUUGCUUCCCCGCUAGACAUAUUCAUGCCCUUUUUGCUGAACCCAUUUAGUGAGGAGGAAGAAUGAUGUCUAAUGUUUCCUGUCUAUAUAAACAACGCAAUAAUCAUGCUGCAAACAUUCCAAUAUCAACGUUUUUAUUUAAAUAAACUCACAGGUUCAAAAUCCCCAUUAAUUCUCUAUGAUUGCUGGUUCAGCAAUAAAGAACAAAUCUAUUGGAACUGAUGGCAUGGGACAUUGUCUAAAAGAAGAUCUUGAGAGACCAUGUCAGCAAGAAGGAUGAAAAAAAGAUCAUACAUAUAUGGUCAACUUCAAACAAUAGAAAAUACAUAUUUUUUUAUGUAUUCCUAACUCCACAUGUAGACAUUCAAAGUCUUUUUUUCUAUUUUUAGUUCCAUUUUUUUUCUUUUUAUAAUUUAACAGCUGGUAGAUAAAUGCAAUAUGAGCCACAAGCCUUAAUCUAUUCAUCACACAAUCCAAUAUACAUUCUUUUCACUGUAUUUUGAAUAUGUUCUCGGAGACAUCUCUGUGUUUUCUUUCAGUGUUCCAUUGAGUAGCAAGGUUGAGGAACGGUUACAGUUGCUGAUUUGGCCAACAAGUGGAGUCAAACAGAUGGAGGUUAGGUGGCAACCAGAUUUCUUUGAUGAUGCCUGAGAUUCCAUGUAGAUACUUCAAUCUGCAUUUUUAUUUUUAUUGAUAACACAUUAGGCACCAAAGGUAUGGUACCAAAGGAAAUCCUUAGAUCAAGAGUAAUUCCCUGGAAGAUGAUUCAUACUUAAAAAUGACGCUCAUCACUAAGUAAAAAUAGUAAAUAGCGCUCACUUUAUUAGGAGCACCUGUCUAGUAUCAGUUAGGCUUUUCUUUUGCCUCCAGAACAGCUUGUAUUCUUCUAGCACAAAUUCAAGACAUGCUUUGAAAGAUUUCUUUUGAAUUUUCAUCUGUGCUCAUUAAAUGACGUCAUGCGUUCAUUCUUUCCACUGCAUCUCACAAAUCACAUUAUUGGACGGGGAUCUGUGGACAGUGCAGUGCAGGGCAUAUGGGUAAACAAAGUCAAUAUCAUGCUCUUAAAAUCUGCUGAGAUGUAACAUUGUUGGCGACACAGCAGUUAAGCACUCUGUGGAAACGGCACUGACCAAAGUAUCCAAUGAUCUACUCGCUGAAAAAUCUCGUGGUCACUACUCUAUCCUAAUUCUCCUUGACCUGUCUACGGCUUUUGACACUGUUGAUCAUCAACAGCUUCUUCUCAUCCUCCGCAAUAUCGGUCUACAAGAUAUUGCUCUCUCCUGGUGCUCCUCCUACCUCUCCCAGCGCUCUUUCAGUGUUUCUUUCUCUGGCUCUGCUUCUUCUCCCCAACUCCUCUCUGUUGGUGUCCCCAAGGUUCAGUCCUUGGUCCCCUACUGUUCUCCAUCUAUACUGCCUCCCUUGGUAAACUCAUUAGCUCCUUUGGCUUCCAAUAUAAUUUCUAUGCAGAUGACACGCAAAUCUACCUGUCCUCUCCUGAUCUCUCCCAGUCCCUCUUGACUAGUGUCUCUGACUGCCUCUCUGCUGUUUCUAACUGCAUGGCUGCCCACUUUCUUAAACUAAACUUGACCAAAACUGAAAUUCUGGUCUUUCCUCCCUCAAGUGUUGUUACUCCUGUGUCUGUCUCCCGCCAAGUCAACGGUGCUACCAUCAGCUCCACCAUGCAGGCUCGCUGCCUAGGUGUUCUCUUUGACUCCGACCUCUCCUUCAAGCUUCAUGUUCAAUCUAUCGCCAAAUCCUGUCAUUUCCAUCUCAAAAACAUUGCGCGCAUCCGCCCCUACUUAACGCUAGAUGCGACUAAGGUGUUGGUCCAUUCCACUGUCCUUUCCUGCCUUGACUACUGUAAUCCGCUUCUCAGUGGUCUUACGUGCUCCCAACUUGUGCCGUUACAGUCCAUAAUGAAUGCGGCGGCGAGGCUCAUCUUCAUGUCCGCCCGCACCUCCCAUGCCUCACCCUUCUGUCAGUCCCUACAUUGGCUUCCUAUAAAAUGUAGAGCUCAAUUUAAAAUUUUGGUUCUUGCAUUCAAAUCUCUACAUAAUGAAGCCCCCACCUGUCUAUCCUCCCUUAUCCACAAGUAUGUCCCGUCUAGGCCCUUACGAUCUGCUUUAGACUUACGUCUAUCUUCUGUCCGUACUCCCACCUCUGAUGCUCGCCUUUAAGAUUUCUCGAGGGCUGCACCGUUCCUGUGGAACUCGCUUCCCUCCUCCAUUAGAUGCUCACCCAGUCUCCACUCCUUCAAAAAAUUGUUAAAAACCCACUUCUUCAUAAAAGUGUAUCAAUUAAACUGUUAAUAGCUCCUGACUGAUUCCUCUUCUGCAACUGUCACUAGUCUAGUACUAUCCUUACCUUUUUGUGUCAUUUUACCCCACUCCCUCUAGCAUGUAAGCCAGUGGCGUACACAUGACCCAUGGGGCCCCGGUGCGAAAAUUGAUCCGUAGGCCCCCCCCCCGCGCACGGGCCGGGCCGCAACACAUGGGGGUGGGCACCUGGUCGCAGGGGUUACAGGGCUGCGACCCCUGCGACUGCGGUAUGUACACCAGUGCAUGCAGAUGCACACACUUAAAGGACCACUCUAGGCACCCAGACCACUUCAGCUUAAUGAAGUGGUCUGGGUGCCAGGUCCAGCUAGGGUUAACCCAUUUUUUCAUAAACAAAGCAGUUUCAGAGAAACUGCUAUGUUUAUGAAUGGGUUAAGCCUUCCCCUAUUUCCUCUAGUGGCUGUCCCAUUGACAGCCGCUAGAGGCGCUUGCGUGCUUCUCAUUGUGAUUUUCACAGUGAGAGCACGCCAGCGUCCAUAGGAAAGCAUUAUGAAUGCUUUCCUAUGUGACAGGCUGAAUGCGCGCGCAGCUCUUGCCGCGCGUGCGCAUACAGCCGACGGGGAGGAGAAGAGGAGGAUUGGAGGAGGAGAGCUCUCCGCCCAGCGCUGGAAAAAGGUAAGUUUUACCCCUUUCCAGAGGGGUAAAAGUUGUCUGGGUGUCAGGUCCCUCUAGUUUUAACCCUGCAGCUGAAAACAUAGCAGUUUCAGAGAAACUGCUAUGUUUCACUGAGGGUUAAUCCAGCCUCUAGUGGCUGUCUCACUGACAGCCGCUAGAGGAGCACACUGAACGUCCAUAGGAAAGCAUUGAGUAAUGCUUUCCUAUGGGCGGUUUGAAUGCGUGCGCGGUCGCAUUCGGAGCUGAGAGGCUGAGGGAUCCUCAGUGCCAAGGGAGUCCGGCGCUGGAGAAAGGUAAGUGCUGAAGACACACACACACACUUACAGACGCAUACACACUAGCUAACAGACACACACAUUUACUGACAGAGACACAGUCAGCGACAGACAUACAUACACACUCACUUACAAAACAUGCACUCUCAUUGACAAACACACACUCACUAACAGACAUCAAACAGACUCACUAACACACACACACUCAGUAAGACACACACAGUAACACACUCACUGACACUCACUAGCAGACACACACACUAACACUCACACACACUAACACUCACUCUAACACACACACACUAACACUCACUCACACUAACACUCACUCUAACACUCACACACUCUAACAUUCACUCUAACACUCACUCACUCUAACACUCACUCUAACACACACACUAACACUCACUCUAACACUCACACACACUAACACUCACACACACUAACACUCACUCUAACACUCACACUAACACAUGAUUUUUUUUUUAAAUGUAAUCCCCCCAGCCUCCUUACCUUUUGGAGUGCUGGGGGGAUUCCCUGGGGUCCAGUGGUGCUGCUGGGCUCUGCUGGGCUCCUGGGCGGGUGGCUGGUCGGGCAGGCGGGCGCGCGAGGGAGCACUCACUGCUUCCUCUUCAGCUCCCUCGCGCGCCGCGUAGGGA